ACAAUCUUGUGCUUGAGAUACAGGUAAGUAAUCAAUAUAAUUGAGAAGUUGGGUGGGAAGUUUUCUUUUUUCCAUUUUUUAGUACACUUUAGGACUUUAGCACUUUAGGGUCUAUAGUAAGUUUUACCGCAAUUCAAAAAUUUCACUUCUCUAUCAUUAAUACUUUGGUGAAACAAUGGCGAAUGAUGUUAAUAAUAUUAAUGUGGCAUGCUAAUGUCAACUCCACGUCAAUUAUUACAUCUGACGUUGUGCUAACG
rnacentral:misc_RNA from 1 species